AUACGUAGGUGGCAAGCGUUGUCCGGAAUUAUUGGGCGUAAAGCGCGCGCAGGCGGUCCUUUAAGUCUGAUGUGAACGCCCACGGCUCAACCGUGGAGGGUCAUUGGAAACUGGGGGACUUGAGUGCAGAAGAGGAAAGUGGAAUUCCAAGUGUAGCGGUGAAAUGCGUAGAGAUGUGGAGGAACACCAGUGGCGAAGGAGACUUUCUGGUCUGGAACUGACGCUGAGGCGCGGAAGCGGGGGGAGCAAACAGGAUUAGAUACCCUGGUAGUCCACGCCGUAAACGAUGAGUGCUAAGUGUUAGGGGGUUUCCGCCCCUUAGUGCUGCAGCUAACGCAUUAAGCACUCCGCCUGGGGAGUACGGUCGCAAGACUGAAACUCAAAGGAAUUGACGGGG
rnacentral:rRNA from 1 species